rnacentral:rRNA from 1 species
GAGUUUGAUCGUGGCUCAGGAUGAACGCUAGCUGGAGGCUUAAUACAUGCAAGUCGAGCGGGAUUGGUCAGCAAUGGCCAUGAGAGCGGCGCACGGGUGAGUAACGCGUACACGACCUACCUUUGACUGGGGGAUAGCCCUGGGAAACUGGGAUUAAUACCGCAUAUAAUUCUGAUUAAUAAAGGAUUGGAAUGAAAGUUCAGGCGGUCAGAGAUGGGUGUGCGUCUGAUUAGCUAGUUGGUGAGGUAACGGCUCACCAAGGCGAUGAUCAGUAGGGGGCGUGAGAGCGUGGUCCCCCACACGGGUACUGAGACACGGACCCGACUCCUACGGGAGGCAGCGGUAAGGAAUAUUGGUCAAUGGGCGAAAGCCUGAACCAGCCAUCCAGCGUGCAGGAAGAAGGCCCUAUGGGUUGUAAACUGCUUUUGUCAGGGAAUAAACCUGUGGAUUUAUCCGCAGCUGAAGGUACCUGAAGAAUAAGCACCGGCUAACUCCGUGCCAG